GACGUUGAGAUAACGCCCGAGUUCACCUAUAUAUCAGGGGUUCGGUUCGCCGGACUAUGGCGAUAAACGCCUUGCGGAAUAAGCGUAGCGGACGCGGGGGCAGUACCCGCCGCCUCCACCAUCUGGGGGGGCGAACCAGGUUCGACGCGCGUGGUAAAGGCUUGGUCUUCGCCCGGUAUGAUACCGCCGUUAUCGGGUCAAACGACAAACGCCAACGAUAAUGAGGCGUUCGCUGUUGCUGCCUAGGCAAUAAGCGCGGUUCGGAGGGCACCGGGCAACAGAAGCCCUCCACG
rnacentral:tmRNA from 1 species